GAUGAACGCUAGCUACAGGCUUAACACAUGCAAGUCGAGGGGAAACGAUAUUGGAAGCUUGCUUCCGAUAGGCGUCGACCGGCGCACGGGUGAGUAACGCGUAUCCAACCUGCCCAUCACUUGGGGAUAACCUUGCGAAAGUAAGACUAAUACCCAAUGAUAUCUCUAGAAGACAUCUGAAGGAGAUUAAAGAUUCAUCGGCGAUGGCUGGGGAUGCGUCUGAUUAGCUUGUUGGCGGGGUAACGGCCCACCAAGGCGACGAUCAGUAGGGGUUCUGCGAGGAAAGUCCCCCACAUUGGAACUGAGACACGGUCCAAACUCCUACGGGAGGCAGCAGUGAGGAAUAUUGGUCAAUGGACGAGAGUCCGAACCAGCCAAGUAGCGUGCAGGAUGACGGCCCUAUGGGUUGUAAACUGCUUUUAUAAGGGAAUAAAGUGAGUCUCGUGAGACUUUUUGCAUGUACCUUAUGAAUAAGGACCGGCUAAUUCCGUGCCAGCCGCCGCGGUAA
rnacentral:rRNA from 1 species